UACAGAGGUCCCGAGCGUUGUUCGGAUUCACUGGGCGUAAAGGGUGCGUAGGUGGCAUGUUAAGUUUGAUGUGAAAGCUCAGGGCUCAACCCUGAAAUGGCAUUGAAUACUAGCGUGCUGGAGGUUUGGAGGGGGGACUGGAAUUCUCGGUGUAGCAAUGAAAUGCGUAGAUAUCGAGAGGAACACCAGUGGCGAAGGCGAGUCCCUGGACAACACCUGACACUGAGGCACGAAAGCUAGGGGAGCAAACAGG
rnacentral:rRNA from 1 species